rnacentral:pre_miRNA from 1 species
AGGGGGAGCGCAGGAGCCUGGGCUGUGCCCCCGGCGCCCUGGGAUCCCGGCCUGUGCCGCUGGAAUCACGCUCCCGGGCCGCAGCUCCCA